rnacentral:lncRNA from 1 species
CAAGCUCAGACAGAUUAAAGACCCAAGAACAUCCAGACUCACUGCAGCUCAAACCCAGGUCAGCGAGAGCCAGGGCUCCUCCCAGACGCCAAGGUUCCUCCAUGCAGCAGGCCUCUGACUUCUGACCCCAGGGCCCAGGGAUGUGAGGCUCAGAGCAUGACUCCAUCCAUGACCCCACUCUGCAUCUUCCUGGGUCUUGGAGGGAAACCCACCAACACAGGGAGCAAGGCCAUCUACAGGCGAGGACAUCCGGAAUACUCCAGGGGAGCCACUCGCAGGCUCCAUGUUUGGGGAUCACUCAGGGGUACCGUCUGAACAAUAUUUAGUCAGGGAUUCUGGACUGAGAGUUCUGAAAUCUCCCUCCAUGGACUCCUACUUUCAAACUUAAUUAGAGAGCAAACCCACCUUUGUCUCAGCUUUGAUGAAACAGAGGGGUGGGCAGGAAGCAGAUGGUGAGUCUAGAUUCUAAAACAUGUUGCUCCUUUGGGGAGCCUCAGCCCCACCAGCCAGUGUUUCCUGGCACUCUUGUUUGUUUUAAGGGAAAACAGUAGUUGGUUAACUUUGGUGCCUUGUGUACUUGUCCUGCCUCUUUUGGGGGCCCCAGGGUGCAUCUACCAGAGAGGACAGGUCUGGGUGUUGGUCUUGGAGAUCUAGUAAAUCUUACCCUACACCAAAGCCCAAAUCAUGGGUCCCUACUUCAGUCCACUGAAGACAAGUGUCUUAGCCUCCCAGCUGGGCUCCUGGUGGCUCUGGUCUCUAUCAGUCAAUCCUCUUCCUUCUAGGCAUGACACACCCUGGCUUAGAACCUUCCUUGGUUCCUUGUUCCCUGUCCAAACUCCUCAGCACAAGGAGCAAAGCCCUCCACUAUCUCUUCAGUAUUUUAAUUUUUAAAAAGCUCUUACAUACACAUGGCGAAAGGGAAAAAAAUAUCAAAGAGCAUGAAAAGAUUCUCAGUGCAAAGUGGGUUGGUCUCCUUUCUAUUCCAAAUCUUCAGUUCUCCUAGGAGGGAACCUCCGUGAGCAGUUAUUUGGUGUCUACUUUCAGCAGUAGUAGAUGCACAAAGGAGCUUAGAUCUAUAAUAUGGAUCCCCUGGGGGUAGAUCUGGAUCCAGGACAAGGAUCUGGAAUUAGGUCAGAGAG